UACGAAGGGGGCUAGCGUUGCUCGGAUUGACUGGGCGUAAAGGGCGCGUAGGCGGUUCGUACAGUCAGACGUGAAAUUCCUGGGCUCAACCUGGGGGCUGCGUUUGAUACGUGCGGGCUUGAGUUCGGAAGAGGGUCGUGGAAUUCCCAGUGUAGAGGUGAAAUUCGUAGAUAUUGGGAAGAACACCGGUGGCGAAGGCGGCGACCUGGUCCGAUACUGACGCUGAGGCGCGAAAGCCAGGGGAGCGAACGGG
rnacentral:rRNA from 1 species